AAUUAUAUCAUCUUAAUUUUCAGCAGCAGUUCUCAGGCGAUAUUACCUCUACGGCCAACUGAUGAUGGAUCCAUGGUGCAGCAGUUCUCAGGCGAUAUUACCUCUACGGCCAACUGAUGAUGGAUCCAUGGUGCAGCAGUUCUCAGGCGAUAUUACCUCUACGGCCAACUGAUGAUGGAUCCAUGGUGCAGCAGUUCUCAGGCGAUAUUACCUCUACGGCCAACUGAUGAUGGAUCCAUGGUGCAGCAGUUCUCAGGCGAUAUUACCUCUACGGCCAACUGAUGAUGGAUCCAUGGUGCAGCAGUUCUCAGGCGAUAUUACCUCUACGGCCAACUGAUGAUGGAUCCAUGGUGCAGCAGUUCUCAGGCGAUAUUACCUCUACGGCCAACUGAUGAUGGAUCCAUGGUGCAGCAGUUCUCAGGCGAUAUUACCUCUACGGCCAACUGAUGAUGGAUCCAUGGUGCAGCAGUUCUCAGGCGAUAUUACCUCUACGGCCAACUGAUGAUGGAUCCAUGGUGCAGCAGUUCUCAGGCGAUAUUACCUCUACGGCCAACUGAUGAUGGAUCCAUGGUGCAGCAGUUCUCAGGCGAUAUUACCUCUACGGCCAACUGAUGAUGGAUCCAUGGUGCAGCAGUUCUCAGGCGAUAUUACCUCUACGGCCAACUGAUGAUGGAUCCAUGGUGCAGCAGUUCUCAGGCGAUAUUACCUCUACGGCCAACUGAUGAUGGAUCCAUGGUGCAGCAGUUCUCAGGCGAUAUUACCUCUACGGCCAACUGAUGAUGGAUCCAUGGUGCAGCAGUUCUCAGGCGAUAUUACCUCUACGGCCAACUGAUGAUGGAUCCAUGGUGCAGCAGUUCUCAGGCGAUAUUACCUCUACGGCCAACUGAUGAUGGAUCCAUGGUGCAGUUCUCAGGCGAUAUUACCUCUACGGCCAACUGAUGAUGGAUCCAUGGUGCAGCAGUUCUCAGGCGAUAUUACCUCUACGGCCAACUGAUGAUGGAUCCAUGGUGCAGCAGUUCUCAGGCGAUAUUACCUCUACGGCCAACUGAUGAUGGAUCCAUGGUGCAGCAGUUCUCAGGCGAUAUUACCUCUACGGCCAACUGAUGAUGGAUCCAUGGUGCAGCAGUUCUCAGGCGAUAUUACCUCUACGGCCAACUGAUGAUGGAUCCAUGGUGCAGCAGUUCUCAGGCGAUAUUACCUCUACGGCCAACUGAUGAUGGAUCCAUGGUGCAGCAGUUCUCAGGCGAUAUUACCUCUACGGCCAACUGAUGAUGGAUCCAUGGUGCAGUUCUCAGGCGAUAUUACCUCUACGGCCAACUGAUGAUGGAUCCAUGGUGGUAUGUGUCGUACAUUCAUUACAUAUAUAUGUCAAU